rnacentral:rRNA from 1 species
GCACGUUAGUGGUGGGCACUACUAAGGAGACUGGCCGGUGACAAACCGGAGGAAGGUGGGGAUGACGUCAAGUCAUCAUGGCCCUUACGGCCUGGGCUACACACGUGCUACAAUGGUCGGUACAAAGGGUUGCCAAGCCGCGAGGUGGAGCUAAUCCCAUAAAACCGAUCGUAGUCCGGAUCGCAGUCUGCAACUCGACUGCGUGAAGUCGGAAUCGCUAGUAAUCGUGAAUCAGAAUGUCACGGUGAAUACGUUCCCGGGCCUU